AUUGAACGCUGGCGGCAGGCCUAACACAUGCAAGUCGAGCGGAUGAAGGGAGCUUGCUCCUGGAUUCAGCGGCGGACGGGUGAGUAAUGCCUAGGAAUCUGCCUGGUAGUGGGGGAUAACGUCCGGAAACGGGCGCUAAUACUGCCUACGUCCUGAGGGAGAAAGUGGGGGGUCUUCGGACCGCACGCUAUCAGAUGAGCCUAGGUCGGAUUAGCUAGUUUGUGGGGUGAAGGCCUACCAAGGCGACGAUCCGUAACUGGUCUGAGAGGAUGAUCAGUCACACUGGAACUGAGACACGGUCCAGACUCCUACGGGACGGCGCAGUGGGGAAUAUUGGACAGUGGGCGAAAGCCUGAUCCAGCCGUGCCACGUGUGUGAAGAAGGUCUUCGGAUUGUAAAGCACUUUAAGUUGGGAGGAAGGGCAGUAAGUUAAUACCUUGCUGUUUUGACGUUACCAACAGAAUAAGCACCGGCUAACUUCGUG
rnacentral:rRNA from 1 species